AUCUUGUUGGAUAUCUUGGAUGUUUUUCUGUUCCUGAGGCCUGUGGAAGGUAUGCAACAUAAUUCAGCUGUCUGUGUGUGAGAAGGGUAUACAAGAUAUUGGAAAAAUAUAUUUUUUGCCCUUUUUCUGUUACAACUUAAAAUGUGAAAUGAUCAUUCAAGUUGAUAUAGUUCUGAGAAUGGGAGAGUUCCUCCAGCCCUCUGCAUAUCCUGAUGGUUCUCCUCUUCCUCAAGGUCCAUGUCCUUUUUAUGAUGUGGGUCACAAGGUUGAAAGCCUUAUGCCAGCAGCUUGGCAUCCCUGGGCUUCUUGCUGCACAAGAAGUAAAGAAGAACUUGACUCUGCUCAGCAACAACUAAAAUGCACGUGUGCUAUUAACAUCCUUCUCAAAUUUGAAACAUAGUACCAUAUGUGCCUCUAUGAAGAAAAUUAACGCUAUCCCAGCUUAAAAAAAAAAAAAAAAGUUAUACUUCAGAAGGUCUCCUCACUGCCUCUGUUAGGAAUCAAGUUACAGUAAUGUCACUAUGUUGCUGCUGCUGACUAAGUAAUUAAUCAGCUCACUGACGUUUGUUUUCUCACCCAUAUAUGAAGUCUCAUUUCCAGUAUACUUUAAAAAUAAUCAGUAGCAGGUGACACUUUUGUGGGACCAAAAGUAAACAAACAUGUAAACAAUAUCACAGUAUCACGGACCUACAAAAAUGUAAAACAUUCAUGAGAAUAGAUAAAAAUGUGGCUUUGGCUGUAGGAAUCCAAUCCUCCCUAUUUUUAGAGAUUCUAUACAUGGAGGAUUUAAUUCUUAAUUUCUAAACCAACUUUAUUGGAAGAUAUUUAAUGUUACAUAGGAUUUUAACUUAGAAAAAUGUUAUAGCAAUGUACUGAAAUAACUAUUUAAGAAUAGUUAAUACUAUUCUUAUUUAUACUGAAUAAACACUUAUUUAUACUAAAUAAGCACUAUAUUUAUACUAAAUAAACACUUAAAUUACAAC
ensembl:lncRNA